UUGAAUCCAAAGGAUGUUGCUGGCCUUUCGGGGCAUGUGCACUCCACCUUUUCAAUACACCUGUGAACUUAUUGUAGGUGCAGAUGUAAAAAGUCUGUUGCCUAUGUUUUUACCACACCCCUAAAAAGUCUAUUGAAUGUCUUAAUUGUGGCCUUUCAUGGUCAACAAAACUUAAUA
rnacentral:misc_RNA from 1 species